rnacentral:misc_RNA from 1 species
GAUGAAGAACGUAGCGAAAUGCGAUAAGUAAUGUGAAUUGCAGAAUUCAGUGAAUCAUCGAAUCUUUGAACGCACCUUGCGCUUCUUGGCAUUCCGAGGAGCAUGCCUGUUUGAGUGUCAUUAAAUCCUCAACCCCAUCUUCCUUGUGAAGUGGUCAGUUGGACUUUGGGAGCUGCUGGCUUGGUGUCAGCUCUUCUGAAAUAAAUUAGCAGGGAACCUUAUGUGCUGGACUGCAGCUUGGUAUUGAUAGUUGUCUUACCAGGUGACAGUCAGGCAUUUACUCUGCUCACAGCCGUCUCUAGCUUGAGACAAGUGACUUGACGAUUUGACCUCAAAUCAGGUAGGACUACCCGCUGAACUUAAGCAUAUCAAUAAGCGGGAGGA